CCUACGGGUGGCAGCAGUGGGGAAUAUUGGACAAUGGGCGCAAGCCUGAUCCAGCAAUACCGCGUGUGUGAAGAAGGCCUGAGGGUUGUAAAGCACUUUUAAUCGGGAGGAAUAGCGGUCGGUUGAUACCCGGUCGUCUGACAUUACCGAUAGAAAAAGCACCGGCUAACUCCGUGCCAGCAGCCGCGGUAAUACGGAGGGUGAAAGCGUUAAUCGGAAUUACUGUGCGUAAAGCGUUAAUACAGGGUUGAAAGCCCCGGGCUUAACCUGGGAACGGCAUUUGAAACUGAUCGACUGGAGUUGGGUAGAGGGGAGUGGAAUUUCAGGUGUAGCGGUGAAAUGCGUAGAUAUCUGAAGGAACACCAGUGGCGAAGGCGGCUCCCUGGACCCAAACUGACGCUGAGGCACGAAAGCGUGGGUAGCAAACAGGAUUAGAUACCCGAGUAGUC
rnacentral:rRNA from 1 species